UUCAACUCAAGAAGAUAAGUCUUUGUGACUUCAGGUCCAGUGGGACACCUAGCUGUCCAGGAAACAAUUUUAACUUAUUAAAAAUUGAGAGAUUAACCAAUGGAAAAGAUUAGCCACACAAUAUAUGGAAACAAAUAAAUAAAAGUGUUUAAUACAUUCAGCAGGUGGUGUGGGAUGGGGUAGAAGCAGGGAAAGACCCACUAUUUAAUUAAAAAAAAAACAGAACAGGUAAGGGAAAAGAAGCUUGCCAGAAAUUUGAUAGGAUAUCAACACCAUACAGCACCGAUUAAAUUUAAAUAAAAAGAGAUUUAAAAAAGUAGAUGUAAAAGGGGAAUCAAUAUCAAAUUAGAGGAGUAAAGAGGAAAUUAAUUUUCCCAUCUAUCGAUAGGGGGAGAGAUCAUAACAGAACAAGCAAUGGAGAGGAUCACAGAAAAUAAAUGAAUAAUUCUGCUUCUAUAAAGUUAAAAUCUUUUUGCAUGAACAGAACAAAUGAAGUUAAAAUAAGAAGGGUGACAGUUAAGGAAGGAAAAACAUCUUUGCAGUAAAGUUCUCUGAGGACUGUUGCAUGUGCAAGAUAAAGUAGGAACCAAUUACAAUUUCCAAAAUGAAGAACCAUUCUCUAAUAAAUCCAGGGAUAUGAACAGUAAGUUUUCAAAGGAAAUAAUCCAAGCUAUUCAUAGUCCUACGACAAGAUGCUCCAAAUCCCUCAUAACAAGAGACAUGCACAUUAAAACAACUCUCUUCUUUCAGUCUGUAAAUCAUAGAGAUCUGCAGGUUCGGGGACAGUCACCUCUUUGUGUUCUAUAACAAGGUACAUGGAAAUGCCCUUUUCACCAGGUGCUGGUUGAAACCAGAAUAAAAAAAUAAAUAUACAAUCAAAUUAAAUGACACUAAAUGAAAGACAUGAUAUGGAAAAAGGGAGGGGAAGAGUUCCUAAUGUCUCAGGUAUUUGUGACCCCAGCUGUAGCAAAUGGCUUGGACACCACAGGGCUGGCACCUUACUGGAGGAGAAGCAGCAAAAACCCUGCGGGGGGGGGGAAGACAGAUAAAAACCUGCAAAUGGGAUUGAUAUACCCCAGGUUUUACAGUUUAGUCAGGAAUUUAUUUUUUAAAAGCCCCAGUUUUUAAUUCAAGUGGUCCACAUUACUUGGUAAAAAAAAAAUAAUUCUGGCCAAGUUCAAGGAAAGAAACUUCUCAAGAUGCUGAAGCUACCACCCCCCCACACACACAAAGGGAGAGAGCCUGAUUGUAUAUCUCUGUAUUCUGGGCCCAAAACCUGCAUUAUUUAACUGAUUGGCCAAAACUGACCCAAGAUAACCCUCAAUAUCAUUAGCCAACUUGAGGUGCUUUACACUGGGGUAAAAUAAAUUACCUUAACAAAUAUUUUGAUGAAGCUGGCAAGAAAAUUAAAUACCCAGAGUGGAAUGCUUUUAGUAAAUUACUACUCUAAACCACUAAAUAGAAACCUCUUGUUACAUGGAUUCUUUUAAAGAAACCUUAAAUGGAAUGAAAUAGAAUGGGGAAAGGGUAGAAGAGAAGAUUUGUGUCCUUCAGAAUGACAGUCAGAAUGGUAUUGCUUAAUUAAAACAGUAAAAGAGGGAUUUGCCUGUUUGUAGGACCAAGUCACCUGUGGCAGCAAAGAUUUAUCCACCCAUCCCUGAGAAAAAUUCACCCCCUUGGCUCCGAGGAUGAGGAAGGGAAGGGGGAGGCUCAUCCUAGACUGUCUCCUUUCUUCCCAGCCCCAAGGUCAAGCCAAGGAUGAGAGGAAUGAAGGAUGGAAGGAUGGAAAUUUCCACCUGAGUAGGGGUGGGAGGGAGUGUUUUCAAGGCUUUUUGCUGCUCACCUCUAUGCCACCCCACCCCGAAGCCCUAGACUUCCAGACAAAGGCCUGGGCAGGCAGGAAGCCCCAGGCAAGAAUCAGCCCAGGAGGAGCAGGCACACAGAGGUACAUACAUAUACACACACAUGCACUAUCCUACUUACACUCACAACACAUGCAUAAACAAAGGUACUAAUACUUCCACGACCCCGCCAUCCAUGCCCAAACACAUCUCUGUGGGCACUAAAACAAGCCAAUUUGUGGUGGGGGGAGGUUCAGGAGCAGGUUGAAGAGGUGCCAGAAGAGAAUAUAAGGAGGGGGGAUGCAGAGGGGCUGCAGGAGAGGCAGUGGAAGGAGGAGGGGAGAGGCUUAACUCAUGCACAGGAAAAUGCAGGAACUUAUGGGAUCCUUGAGCAGGAAAGGGGAGGGGAAGAGGAAAGGGUUAUGGGCAGGCAGAUCUCCAGCUGCUCAUGACACCCUGCUAUACAGAUUCAUGGAAAAAGGCAACUUAUUCCUCCUUCUCCUCCUCCUCCUCUUCCUCCAGAGACAAAGAUGACUAACCUUGUUCGAGGAUGGAAGGGCAGGUCCUUACUUCAAGACACCACAUGGUUCCAAAGGAUCAUAGACUUUCAAUCUCCACCUCAGAUCACCCUCAGCAUCUACUGAGUUGAAUCCCUUAUGCUACAGAGCAAAAUGAAACCCAGGAAGAGAAAAAAAAAACCUGAAACUCAGAGUGGUGAUGAGAGCUGUCUGAUGUCACACAACUAGUAAGGUUCUGAGGGCAGCCGGUCGGCUGGAGCGGGGAACACCUCUGAUGGGGAGGAAGCUGCAGACAGCCCCAGGGGCUUCACUGCAGGCUUUCAAGUCAGAUCACUGGCUACCAGGAUGAACUUCUUGCUUGGGAGUUGCCUUGAGGGAAAGUAUUGGAC